ensembl:miRNA MIR3157 microRNA 3157
GGGAAGGGCUUCAGCCAGGCUAGUGCAGUCUGCUUUGUGCCAACACUGGGGUGAUGACUGCCCUAGUCUAGCUGAAGCUUUUCCC